AUGAGCCGCAGCUCGCCGGGGCACCCAAACGUCACCGUCGACCACCUCCAGCAGGACCUCCCCCAACGCGCCCAAGCUCCUCCCCUGCCCCGAGCCGCAUCUGCAGUUCUCCUCCUCGAGCAGCGCAUCCCUGAGCGAGGAGCGCUCGAUCUGCUCGUUCUAGAGCACCUCAAUGGAGCCGAGGAUCCAUCUCCUGCACCUUGCCUCCGCCGCCUUCAUCGAACCUCGCCGCCGGCACCUCCAUCCUCGACGCCCUCACCACCAUCUCCGGAGCAUCCAUGGCCGUCCCUACGUUGUCGCUGCCUCGAAGUUUCUCCCUCCGGCCACCUCGAGAUCUGGCCAUUCCUCGCUCUAGACGAGGACAAGCCCCCGCAACUCCGGUCGUCCCCUCCGCCAAGUCCAUCGCCGCCUGAACCUCCCUGCAUCGCCCUGUUGCCGCGCCUGCACCGCCUGAAGCCGGGGCACCCCUGCUUCCUCUGCUUCGUAGACGAGCCACGCGCUCGCGUUGACCGACUCCAGCCAGAUCGACCGCGACCUGCCCAUCUCCUUCCUCCUCUUGUUUUCGUCAACAGGAGCUCGCCUGCGCAAGUCUCUGCUCGCGCCCCUGCCCAGAUCGAGCGAGCGAGGAGAGCGCUCGCGUUGACCGCGUCGUUGCCUCCAGAUCAGGCCCAACGCCGCCCCCGGCCUGCCUUGGCCUCUCCACCGACCUGGGCUUGGCCCAUGGUGAGAAACCCCCCAGCGCCCCUUUGUUUUUCUUUUGUUGGGCCUGUUCCGGUUUUAGAUUCGGCCCAGUGUAGUUUUUUCCAUGUCUGCGAUUUUAGCUAUUUUUCCAGGAGUUUUCAGAUUUACAGAAAAGUCCCUCUAGAUCAUGCAUUUAAUAACUCACAAACCGUGCAUAAUUUGUAA
rnacentral:rRNA from 1 species